GAUGAACGCUGGCGGCGUGCCUAAUACAUGCAAGUCGAGCGAACAGACGAGGAGCUUGCUCCUCUGACGUUAUCGGCGGACGGGUGAGUAACACGUGGAUAACCUACCUAUAAGACUGGGAUAACUUCGGGAAACCGGAGCUAAUACCGGAUAAUAUAUUGAACCGCAUUGUUCAAUAGUGAAAGACGGUUUUGCUGUCACUUAUAGAUUGAUCCGCGCCGCAUUAGCUAGUUGGUAAGGUAACGGCUUACCAAGGCGACGAUGCGUAGCCGACCUGAGAGGGUGAUCGGCCACACUGGAACGGAGACACGGUCCAGACUCCUACGGGAGGCAGCAGUAGGGAAUCUUCCGCAAUGGGCGAAAGCCUGACGGAGCAACGCCGCGUGAGUGAGGAAGGUCUUCGGAUCGUAAAACUCUGUUAUUAGGGAAGAACAAAGGUGUAAGUAACUAGGCACGUCUGGACGGUGCCGAAGCAGAAAGCCACGGCUAACUACGU
rnacentral:rRNA from 1 species